rnacentral:rRNA from 1 species
UACGUAGGGGGCAAGCGUUGUCCGGAAUCAUUGGGCGUAAAGAGCGUGUAGGCGGCUCGAUAAGUCUGCUGUGAAAGUCCAGGGCUCAACCCUGGAAGGCCGGUGGAAACUGUCGGGCUAGAGCACGGUAGAGGCAGAUGGAAUUCCCGGUGUAGCGGUGGAAUGCGUAGAGAUCGGGAAGAACAUCAGUGGCGAAGGCGGUCUGCUGGGCCGUUGCUGACGCUGAGGCGCGACAGCGUGGGGAGCAAACAGG